rnacentral:rRNA from 1 species
UACGGAGGGGGCUAGCGUUGUUCGGAAUUACUGGGCGUAAAGCGCACGUAGGCGGCUUUGUAAGUUAGAGGUGAAAGCCCACGGCUCAACCGUGGAGGGUCAUUGGAAACUGGGGGACUUGAGUACAGAAGAGGAAAGCGGAAUUCCGCGUGUAGCAGUGAAAUGCGUAGAUAUGCGGAGGAACACCGAUGGCGAAGGCAAUCCCCUGGGCCUGCACUGACGCUCAUGCACGAAAGCGUGGGGAGCAAACAGG